rnacentral:rRNA from 1 species
GAUGAACGCUGGCGGCGUGCCUAAUACAUGCAAGUCGAGCGAACAGACGAGGAGCUUGCUCCUCUGUCGUUAGCGGCGGACGGGUGAGUAACACGUGGAUAACCUACCUAUAAGACUGGGAUAACUUCGGGAAACCGGAGCUAAUACCGGAUAAUAUAUUGAACCGCAUGGUUCAAUAGUGAAAGACGGUUUUGCUGUCACUUAUAGAUGGAUCCGCGCCGCAUUAGCUAGUUGGUAAGGUAACGGCUUACCAAGGCGACGAUGCGUAGCCGACCUGAGAGGGUGAUCGGCCACACUGGAACUGAGACACGGUCCAGACUCCUACGGGAGGCAGCAGUAGGGAAUCUUCCGCAAUGGGCGAAAGCUUGACGGAGCAACGCCGCGUGAGUGAUGAAGGUCUUCGGAUCGUAAAACUCUGUUAUUAGGGAAGAACAAAUGUGUAAGUAACUAUGCACGUCUUGACGGUACCUAAUCAGAAAGCCACGGCUAACUACGUG